rnacentral:rRNA from 1 species
GACGAACCGUGCAAACGUUGUUCGGAAUCACUGGGCUUAAAGGGCGCGUAGGCGGGCUAGCCAGUCUGUGGUGAAAGCCUCCAGCUUAACUGGAGAAGUGCCGUGGAUACUGCUGGCCUCGAGGAGGGUAGGGGCAUCUGGAACGGUCGGUGGAGCGGUGAAAUGCGUUGAUAUCGACCGGAACUCCGGUGGCGAAGGCGAGGUGCUGGGCCCUUUCUGACGCUGAUGCGCGAAAGCCAGGGGAGCAAACGGG